rnacentral:rRNA from 1 species
UACGUAGGGUGCGAGCGUUGCCCGGAUUUAUUGGGCGUAAAGGGCGCGUAGGCGGCUCUGCACGUCCGUUGUGAAAUUGCCCGGCUCAACUGGGCGGGGUCAGCGGAUACGGCGGAGCUUGAGCAAGCUAGGGGGCAAUGGAAUUCCCGGUGUAGUGGUGGAAUGCGUAGAUAUCGGGAGGAACACCAGUGGCGAAGGCGGUUGCCUGGGGCUUUGCUGACGCUGAUGCGCGAAAGCGUGGGGAGCGAUCCGG